GACGAACGCUGGCGGCGUGCUUAACACAUGCAAGUCGAACGAAGUGGCGAACGGGUGAGUAAUACGUGAGUAACUGCCCUCCUUUUUGGGAUAAGCCUUGGAAACGGGGUCUAAUACCGAAUAAAGGGGGAUGGGCUCGCGGCCUAUCAGCUUGUUGGUGGGGUGAUGGCCUAACAAGGCGGUGACGGGUAGCCGGCCUGAGAGGGGACUGGCCACAUUGGGAUGAGGUACGGGCCAGACUCCUACGGGAGGCAGCAGGGGGGGAUAUUGCACCAUUGGCGAAAGCCUGAUGCAGCGACGCCGCGUGCGGUAUGUCGGCCUUCGGGUUGUAAACCGCUUUCAGCCAUGACGCGGUAGUGGCAGAAGAAGCACCGGCUAACUACGUGCCAGCAGCCGCGGUAAUUC
rnacentral:rRNA from 1 species